rnacentral:rRNA from 1 species
CACUCCUAGCGGUGAAUCACUUGGCCCCUGCAAACGAUGAAAAGCGCGGCUAACUGCGAUAAAUUGUGUGAAAUGUAAACACAUUGGGAAAUGAACUUUCGUAAACGCACAUCAAAUGCCAUUCUGCAUAUGCGUUU